rnacentral:rRNA from 1 species
GCUGAACCAGCCAAGUCGCGUGAGGGAAGACGGCCCUACGGGUUGUAAACCUCUUUUGUCAGGGAGCAAGAGGCGGGUCGAGACCUGCUGUGAGAGUACCUGAAGAAAAAGCAUCGGCUAACUCCGUGCCAGCAGCCGCGGUAAUACGGAGGAUGCGAGCGUUAUCCGGAUUUAUUGGGUUUAAAGGGUGCGCAGGCGGAGGCACAAGUCAGCGGUAAAAUCGCGGGGCUCAACCCCGCUCCGCCGUUGAAACUGUGUCCCUUGAGUGCGCGAAGGGUAGGCGGAAUGCGUGGUGUAGCGGUGAAAUGCAUAGAUAUCACGCAGAACUCCGAUCGCGAAGGCAGCCUACCGGCGCGCAACUGACGCUCAUGCACGAAAGCGUGGGUAUCGAACAGGAUUAGAUACCCUGGUAGUCCACGCAGUAAACGAUGAAUGCUAUCUGUCCGGCCGGAAUGACGGCUGG